GAUGAAGAACGUAGCGAAAUGCGAUAAGUAAUGUGAAUUGCAGAAUUCAGUGAAUCAUCGAAUCUUUGAACGCACCUUGCACCCUUUGGCAUUCCGAAGGGUAUGCUCGUUUGAGUGUCAUUGUACUCUCACACUCUCCGAUGCUAUGGAUUCGGGGAGCGGUGGACUUGGGUGUUGCUGCCUUUCCUUGUGGCUCACCUCAAAUGUGUCAGUGCACCUCUUGGUUGGACAUAGUACGGCGUGAUAAGUGUCUUCGCCGGCACCUCGCAAGAGGGUGGCCGAUCGGGAGCUCUGUGCUUUCAAACCGUCUUCGGACAAUUUCUGACAACUUGACCUCAAAUCGAGUAGGACUACCCGCUGAACUUAAGCAUAUCAAUAAGCGGAGGA
rnacentral:misc_RNA from 1 species